AUUGAACGCUGGCGGCCGGCUUAACACAUGCAAGUCGAACGAGUGGCGGACGGGUGAGUAAUGCUUGGGAAUCUAGCUUAUGGAGGGGUAUAACUACGGGACACUGUAUCUAAUACCGCGUACCAUAGGCUGAGCCCAAGUGGGAUUAGGUAGUUGGUGAGGGAAAGGCUCACCAAGCCGACGAUCUCUAGCUGGUCUGAGAGGAUGACCAGCCACACGGGGACUGAGACACGGCCCAGACUCCUACGGUAGGCAGCAGUGGGGAAGAUUGCGCAAUGGGGGCAACCCGGACGCAGCCAUGCCGCGUGAAUGAAGAAGGCCUUCGGGUUGUAAAGUACUUUCAGCGGGGAGGCGUUACCCGCAGAAGAAGCACCGGCUAACUCCGUGCCAGCAGCCGAGGUAAUUC
rnacentral:rRNA from 1 species